UCCUGGUGGCUCAGAUGGGAAAGAAUCUGCCUGCAAAGCAGGAGACCUGGGUUCGAUUCCUGGGUCAGGAA
rnacentral:tRNA from 1 species